UGGGGAAUAUUGGACAAUGGGCGAAAGCCUGAUCCAGCCAUGCCGCGUGUGUGAAGAAGGUCUUCGGAUUGUAAAGCACUUUAAGUUGGGAGGAAGGGCAGUAAGCGAAUACCUUGCUGUUUUGACGUUACCGACAGAAUAAGCACCGGCUAACUCUGUGCCAGCAGCCGCGGUAAUACAGAGGGUGCAAGCGUUAAUCGGAAUUACUGGGCGUAAAGCGCGCGUAGGUGGUUCGUUAAGUUGAAUGUGAAAGCCCCGGGCUCAACCUGGGAACUGCAUCCAAAACUGGCGAGCUAGAGUAGGGCAGAGGGUGGUGGAAGUUCCUGUGUAGCGGUGAAAUGCGUAGAUAUAGGAAGGAACACCAGUGGCGAAGGCGACCACCUGGGCUCAUACUGACACUGAGGUGCGAAAGCGUGGGGAGCAAACAGG
rnacentral:rRNA from 1 species